AGCUACACUAAGCCCUUCCCCCUUAACAUGUUUCUCCCAGGCAUGUGUCACUCGGUUAGAAAAGCUGACAACACCGGCUCUCCAUGUCCUUCUGCCUCUGGGUGGCUGGGGCUGUCCCUUUCAUUCCUGGCAUCAGUUUACCCCUUGAGCAUAACUCUCUAGACGAUGCAAAGUCCAUGUGCUCUGUGCAGCAGAAGAGUUUGGAGCAGUGGUACCCCAGGGUGUGGAUCCAGGCCUUUCUGAAGAUACCAAUGCCUAAGAGCGUUCAAGUCCCUACUGUGAAAUGACCCAGUAUUCACCAGUCUCUCUGAUCAUCUUCCUACGUACUCCCCUUUAGAUGAUCACUUAUAUUGUCUGCCAUUGUGUAAGCACCGUAUGAAUGCCAUCUACCUUGGACUGCUGGAGAAUAAUAAAUGAUUAGAAGAAAAAAAAAAAAAAAAAAAAAAAAAAAAAAAAAAAAAAAAAAAAAAAAAAAAAAA
rnacentral:lncRNA from 1 species